rnacentral:rRNA from 1 species
ACGGAGGGGGCCAGCGUUGUUCGGAAUUAUUGGGCGUAAAGGGCGCGUAGGCGGCCUGGUAAGUCAGUUGUGAAAGCCCUCGGCUCAACCGAGGAAUUGCGACUGAUACUGCCGGGCUUGAGUCCCGGAGAGGGUAGUGGAAUUCCCAGUGUAGCGGUGAAAUGCGUAGAUACUGGGAGGAACAUCAGUGGCGAAGGCGACUACCUGGACGGGUACUGACGCUGAGGCGCGAAAGCGUGGGGAGCAAACAGG